rnacentral:rRNA from 1 species
AACGAACGCUGGCGGCAUGCCUAACACAUGCAAGUCGAACGGUGCCUCCGGGCAUAGUGGCGCACGGGUGCGUAACGCGUGGGAAUCUGCCCUUGGGUUCGCAAUAACUCGCCGAAAGGCGAGCUAAUACCGGAUGAUGACGUAAGUCCAAAGAUUUAUCGCCCAAGGAUGAGCGCGCGUAGGAUUAGCUAGUUGGUGGGGUAAAGGCCCACCAAGGCGACGAUGCUUAGCUGGUCUGAGAGGAUGAUCAGCCACACUGGGACUGAGACACGGCCCAGACUCCUACGGGAGGCAGCAGUGGGGAAUAUUGGACAAUGGGCGAAAGCCUGAUCCAGCAAUGCCGCGUGAGUGAUGAAGGCCUUAGGGUUGUAAAGCUCUUUUACCCGGGAUGAUAAUGACAGUACCGGGAGAAUAAGCACCGGCUAACUCCGUG